rnacentral:tRNA from 1 species
GUCUCCUAGUGGUUAGGGACGCGAGCUUCACACGCUCGAGAUCGAGGGUUCGAUCCCCUCC